GACGAACGCUGGCGGCGUGCUUAACACAUGCAAGUCGAACGGAAAGGCCCUGCUUUUGUGGGGUGCUCGAGUGGCGAACGGGUGAGUGACACGUGAGUAUCCUGCCCUUGACUUUGGGAUAACUUCAGGAGACUGGGGCUAAUACCGGAUAGGAGCUCCUGCUGCAUGGUGGGGGUUGGAAAGAUUCGGCGGUGGGGGCUGGACUGGCGGCUUAUGCGCUUGUUGGGGGGGUAGUGGCUUACCAAGGCUUUGACGGGUACCCGGCCUGGGAGGGGUGCCGGCCACAUUGCGACUGCGAUACGGCCCAGACUCCAACCGUACGCAGCGGUGGGGAAUAUUGCACAGCGGGCGGAAGCCUGAUGUGACGACGCCGCGAGCGGGAAGACGGGCUGCGGGUUGUAAACCGCUGUGGAAUGAGACGAGGAGGUAGUGACGGUAACUGGUAAAGAAGCACCGGCUAACUACGUG
rnacentral:rRNA from 1 species